CUUGUCGUAUUGUAUUGACAUAGUUUCAAUAAUCGUGUAAUGAAGAACAAGAUAAAAAACAGUGACACUUCGUUGUCCCGAACAGAAUUUAGUUAGGUACUUUAAAGUAGACACCUCCAAACUCUGAGUGAAAGCCAGUUUUCCUAAAGGAGGAAGGUUUUACAGGGCGACUCAAUAUUUCUAAUUCUACCCCUCUCAAAUGUACUGUCCAUUGAAUUUCUGAAAAAUGGCUGUUGGAAUUUAAAGAUAUCUCUAAGGUCCCAAAGGAGCCUUACACUUUCAUUAUUACAAGGCAGCGUCAGUUUCCUCUCAUAUUUAAAAUUUUAAUGCAUUCAAUUUUAUUUAUUUUCUUUUCAGAUUUUUCACACUGAGAAAUGCCACCUAGAAAGAAGAAAAUUCAAGAAGCAGUUGUCAUCAUAUUAGACGUUGGUUAUGGUGGAGAAAACGCGGGGACAUCCUCAUCCAAAAGUUUCUUUGAGAAAGGAAAAGAAAGUGUCAUUGGAUUAAUCAAGAAAAGGUAACUAACGAAGUCUAUCUGCAGCAUCUUCUGUAAUUUAUCAAUUAUAGAACUUUUUUUCUCUCUAAUUGUAAGUGCAUUCAACUCCACCUACUGUAUCAUUAAUUUUAAUGGGACUGGAGCUUUCUUAAGCUAACUUUAGCAACAAUCUUUUUUUUUUUUUUUUUUUUUUUUUUUUUUUUUUUUUUUUUACAAAUAUGGUUUCUACUUGAUGCUUCAAAAUACAAUCAUGAUACAAUCUCAUCAGUGAAGGUGUUAGGGAUGAGUUCUUACAAGCAAUCAAUGAGUGUUCGGAACAUACAUGGAUUACAUUUUGCAAUAAGGAACCACUAUUUCUGGCUCAUUUUAGAAACAACAUAUCGACGGUGAAACUACCAAACCACGUAUCUCGUUUGCGGUGUUUAAAAAUCUACGCUCGCAUUUUAUUUUUUUGAAGUAGACCAAAUCAAUAUCAUUCCUUGAAAUUUUCACAGAAUUUUCUCCGCAGGAAGAGGAAAAAUCACAGAAAUUUUCAAGAUGGACGUUAAGUAGUUUUUCAUUUAAAAAAUAAAGCAUGACAGGAAGUCUGCGACGUCGCAAACCGAGAUACGUGGUUUGGUAGUUUCACCAUCGAUAUGUGCCAUUGAUUUCCCUACGAAGAUACGUGCUUUUAUGGAAGACCCAGAGAUAGUGGUUCCUUAUUGCAAAAUGCAAUCCAC
rnacentral:lncRNA from 1 species